AUUUUGACAGAGACUUCGGUUGAAGUUGUUAUAAUCCUAGUGGCGGACGGGUGAGUAACGCGUGGGUAACCUGCCUCACACUGGGGGAUAACAGUCAGAAAUGACUGCUAAUACCGCAUAAGCGCACGGGAUUGCAUGAUCCAGUGUGAAAAACUCCGGUGGUGUGAGAUGGACCCGCGUUGGAUUAGCCAGUUGGCAGGGUAACGGCCUACCAAAGCGACGAUCCAUAGCCGGCCUGAGAGGGUGGACGGCCACAUUGGGACUGAGACACGGCCCAGACUCCUACGGGAGGCAGCAGUGGGGAAUAUUGCACAAUGGGGGAAACCCUGAUGCAGCGACGCCGCGUGAAGGAAGAAGUAUCUCGGUAUGUAAACUUCUAUCAGCAGGGAAGAAAAUGACGGUACCUGACUAAGAAGCCCCGGCUAACUACGUGCCAGCAGCCGCGGUAAUACGUAGGGGGCAAGCGUUAUCCGGAUUUACUGGGUGUAAAGGGAGCGUAGACGGAGCAGCAAGUCUGAUGUGAAAGGCGGGGGCUCAACCCCCGGGCUGCAUUGGAAACUGUUGAUCUUGAGUACCGGAGAGGUAAGCGGAAUUCCUAGUGUAGCGGUGAAAUGCGUAGAUAUUAGGAGGAACACCAGUGGCGAAGGCGGCUUACUGGACGGUAA
rnacentral:rRNA from 1 species